rnacentral:rRNA from 1 species
CCUACGGGUGGCAGCAGUAGGGAAUAUUGCUCAAUGGGGGAAACCCUGAAGCAGCAAAGCCGCGUGGAGGAUGAAGGUUUUCGGAGUGUAAACUUCUUUUGUUAGAGAAGAUAAUGACGGUAUCUAACGAAUAAGCACCGGCUAACUCCGUACCAGCAGCCGCGGUAAUACGGAGGGUGCAAGCGUUACUCGGAAUCACUGGGCGUAAAGAGCGCGUAGGCGGGAUAGAAAGUCAGAUGUGAAAGCCUAUGGCUUAACCAUAGAACUGCAGUUGAAACUGUUAUUCUUGAGUAUAGGAGAGGUAGGUGGAAUUCUUGGUGUAGGGGUGAAAUCCGUAGAGAUCACGAGGAAUACUCAUUGCGAAGGCGACCUACUGGAACGUAACUGACGCUGAUGCGCGAAAGCGUGGGUAGCAAACAGGAUUAGAUACCCUAGUAGUC